GGAUUCCUAAGCUCAACAAGAAAAAUUACAGCGACUGGGUUCAGUAUGCAGAGGCAAUUCUGCGGAAAGAGGGUUUGUUUGAGGUGAUUACAGAAACCCCCCCAGUUCCAGUUACAGAUGCAUGGGAAGCUAAGGAUUCCAAAGCAAGGGGAACUCUUACAUUGAUAGUAUCCCCAGAAGAGCUCUGUCUAUUGCGUGAUAAGACCUCAGCCAGAGAAAUUUGGGACGCUCUGAGAGAGGCUCACUUAAGGACAGAAGCUGGAUCCACUAUGUUUUAUUUUAACAAGCUGCAUAAUAUGGCUCUUGCUGAAGGUGGAGAUGUGCGUUUACAUCUGAUGCAGAUGCAAAAUCUGAGACAUGAGCUGCAACAGAGAGGACUCAACUUUCCAGAGGCUGUGUAUUCUUUCAUGAUACUACAAUCUUUGGGUUCAGGUUGGGAGUCUGUUGCAACCCAGAUUGCUGUGCAACCAACUGCUCAGCUGACAGUGGACUUUGUUACUGCCGUGAUUUUAAAUGAAGCAGAUCGCCGGGGUGCUAGCUGCAUGGGCAAGGGGGAGUCUUCACAGACGUCAUCCCAUAGUGCAGUGGAACCACCAGAUGGCGCUAAAGCUUUGCAGGCAGUGAAAUGCUACUCGUGUGGACGUCUAGGCCAUAUGAAGAGGGAAUGCAGACAUCCCAGGGCCAAGACAGAGCAGCGCAGCGAAAGCUCAUCGCGCGGAAAAGGCCGAGGCAAAGGCAAAGGUCCGGUGUCUAGGACAACGCAGCACAAGGCUAUGGUUUCACGCUUCACUCCAAAGGUUGCAGAGGUCCAGAAGACGUCUAGAUCUUUCUUCGUUGUUGAUUCAGCGGCCACCCACCACAUGUGCAACGAUAAGAAACUGUUUGUGUCUUUUACACCGCAGGAAGGUGCGAUUCACCAGGCGGAUGACCACACUAUUCCCAGUAAAGGCUACGGAACUGUUGUUCUUCACAGUUUGGACUUAUCGAUACAGAAUGUGCUUUACGUGCCAGACGCCAAACAUAAUCUGCUCAGCGUUGGACAGCUGAAUGAGCGGAACAUUGACGUUUCCUUCAAGAACAAGAAGUGCAUCAUCACAAAGAAAAAUGAUUAUGUAUUGCAUGCAGAAUAUGUUGAUCAUUUGUUUGUUUUGUAUUAUGAUGAUGUGGUGCAGGAUGACACUUGUUGCAUUGCAGGUUCUAACAAAAGUUUGCAUGCAGAAUGUAUUCACGAUUUUCAUCGAAAAUUUGGUCAUUUGCAUUUUGAGGCAGUAUCUAAAAUGCCUGCCUUGGUUGAAGGUAUGACUAUUAAACCCUGCAGGUACCACAUGAAGUGCAAAGCAUGCGCAGCAAACAAGGUGAAAAUGGCUGCGAAAGGUAAGGUGUCUAGUAGGAAAGCUACAGAACCAUACCAGGUUGUUCAUGCUGAUUUGGUUGGACCACUAUCGCCCUCUUUGGGUGGAAAUAGAUACUUCAUGGUUCUCAUUGAUGCAUUUUCUAGAUAUAUUUUUGUGUACAAUCUCAAGCAGAAAUCGGAGGCUUUUCCUAGGUUCAAGGAAUUCUGUGCUUGGUUGGAAAAUGUGCAUGGUAAGAAGAUAAAGACUCUUUUCAGUGAUCGCGGGGGGGAAUUCACUUCUCAGCAGUUUGAAGCUUUUCUGACUGAGAAAGGAAUUCAACACGAUUUGUCUAGUCCUCGCUCGCCAUGGCAGAAUGGACUUGCGGAACGGGCAAAUCAGACAUUGCUUCAAGGCUUAAAAACCUUGCUGCAUGAUGCCAAUCUUCCAGAGAGUUAUUGGGCCGAAUCUCUCUCGUGUUUUGUUUACAGUUACAAUCGCAGAUUAUCUUCAGCGAUUGGUUGUACCUCUAUGAGAAGAUGUUUGGCAAGAAGCCAUACAUCAAACACAUGAAGAUUUUUGGUUCUGACAUGUGGGUUCGCUCACCACAAAACUCCAAGUUAGACAAGCGUGGAUUGCAUGGUAUCUUUCUAGGUUAUCAGAAAGGGUCUUACAGAAUAAUGAUGACUGACUCUAAGACAAUUAAGCUCACGAGAAGUGUUGAGUACAAUGCAAAGUGGGGGAGAAUGUGGGAAUUUUCCAAUGUUAUCCUGAUGACGGUGAUGAGACUGAGGAUAGUCAAAGCAACCACAACAGCCCACACCCACUGAUGAAGGUUCUGAGUCUGAAUCUGAAACUGAAUCGGGUGAUUCAGAGGAUUUCAAGAGUGCGAAAGCCUCUAUGCGACCCUCUGAAAGCUCUGAUCAAGAAUUGGAGGAACCAUUGUUCACAAUAGGUCGUUUUUCUCCUAAGAAGGAAGAGGAGAGUGUUGAAGACUUAAGGCUAAUUCGUAGGUCACAGAGAGUCACAAAAGGCAAACCUCCAAAGAGAUUUGCUGAUGAGUUUGCUAAGAUAGCAGUAACAGCUGUUAAAAGCUCCAAGAAGGUAUUUGAACCUUCAAGUUUCCAAGAAAUCCAGGGUUUGGAUUCAAAGGAAGCUGAGCCAUGGUUAAAUGCCAUGAAGGCUGAGCUUGAUUCCUUAGAAAGGAACAAAACAUGGGAGCUAGUUCCAGUAGUUCCAGGAAUGAAACUGCUUGGAAGCAAAUGGGUCUUCAAAGCGAAGACAGAUCAAAAUGGCAAGAUAGUCAGACACAAAGCCAGAUUGGUAGCCAGAGGUUUUGCACAGGUACCAGGUGAAGACUAUCACGAGACCUAUUCACCCACAGUGAGAUAUGAAAGCAUUAGGCUUAUGCUUAAGCUAGCUGCAGAGGAAAAUCUACACAUUAGUCACCAUGAUAUUAAUACAGCUUUUCUGUACGGAUCUCUAGAUGAAUCACUUUAUAUGCUUCCACCUGAUGGCGUACAGGUAAAACAGGGAUUUGUUUGUGCUCUGAAGAAAUCCCUUUAUGGUCUCAAACAAAGUGCACGGUGUUGGCACACAAAACUCACUGAAGUAUUGUUUUCUCUAGGUUUUCAGCAAGGGAAAGCUGAUCCAUGUGUAUUUGUCAAAGAGGAGGGGCAAAAGAAACUGUACUGUUUGUUUUAUGUUGAUGAUUUAUUAUUCUUUUGGAAAGAUGUCGCAAUGUACAAUAGCGCCCUAGCUCAACUGAAAGAGCACUUUGACAUGAAAGAUCUUGGUGAGGUAAACAACUACCUAUCUCUGGAAAUAGAGAGAGAUCAAGAUGGUAACAUUCUAGUACACCAGUCACGGAAAAUUGCUGAUGUGUUAAGCAAACUAACUCUGAUGGAUGCUAACCCUGUAGACACACCGAUGACAACAGGUUAUCAGGUAGAUGACACUGAAGAAGCAUUUUCUGACACUACACUGUACAGGAGUGUGCUAGGCAAGCUAAACUUCAUUGCCAGAUGUUCAAGACCAGACAUUGCUGUUAGCUGUAAUUUGCUAAGCAGACAAGUCAACAAUCCUAGUGUCAAGGAUUGGAAAGCUCUGAAACGCAUAGCGCGGUAUUUGAAAGGCACUAUGCAUUACAGACUGAGAUUUAACAAUCAGAAGUCUGGUGGUCUUGAGAUAUUUGCAGAUGCAAGUUUUGGAAGUGACGCUACAGACAGGAAAAGUACGUCUGGAGUUUGCUACAUGUACAAUCAGAGUCUGUUUGAUUGGUCAUGCAAGAAGCAAACAACAGUUAGCUUAAGUACUUGUGAAGCUGAACUGAAUGCACUGUCUUAUUCACUUAAGGAUUGUGAAUGGUUAGUACAAUUGUGCAAAGAUAUGAAAAUUCCUGUCAAAUGUCCAAUCCAGGUUUACCAGGACAACAAAGCAUGUUUGGCUUUGCUGAAGUCUGAAGGUUGUAAGCAAAGCACAAAGCACUUGCAAUUAAAGUUGCAGCAUGCUAGGGAAUGUAUUCAGAAGGGACUCGUAACGGUGUCCUAUAUGCCAGGUAAUGAAAUUCCUGCUGAUGUAUUGUCCAAGAUUGUAUCAAGGGAUCAACACUGUACCUAUGUGCAGAAGUUGGGUUUGUACUGAUAUUGUGCAAACACGCUGCCCAGUGAUGUUCACAGAAAGGGGGAGGAUGUUGGUUUCUAUUUCCUUCACUGAGCAGCAACUGCAGUCACAAGACAUUGUUUUGCAUUCCACAGUCAGAGUUACUGUUGGAGUUUCUCACGGGAAAGGGAGACUGGAUGUGACGUACACUGGUUUCCUGUUUUUCACUGUGUGAUUCUCUCCGAGCUGUUGAGGAGAGAGGAUGCAUUUUUCUGCUUCGGCAGAGGCAAGAUGUCUUUCUGUAAUAUACCAGCUUUGAACUGUAAAUAAAGCAAU